UAAGACAGAGGGUGCAAACGUUGCUCGGAAUUACUGGGCGUAAAGCGCGUGUAGGCGGACUUGUAAGUCAGAUGUGAAAGCCCUGGGCUCAACCCAGGAACUGCAUUUGAAACUGCGAGCCUAGAGUGAUGGAGAGGGAAGCGGAAUUCCUGGUGUAGAGGUGAAAUUCGUAGAUAUCAGGAGGAACACCGGUGGCGAAGGCGGCUUCCUGGACAUUAACUGACGCUGAGACGCGAAAGCGUGGGGAGCAAACAGGAUUAGAUACCCUGGUAGUCCACGCCGUAAACGAUGGGUACUAGAUGUCGCGGGUAUUGACCCCUGCGGUGUCGUAGCUAACGCGUUAAGUACCCCGCCUGGGGAGUACGGCCGCAAGGCUA
rnacentral:rRNA from 1 species